GACGAACGCUGGCGGCGUGCUUAACACAUGCAAGUCGAACGAAGAGCGAUGGAAGCUUGCUUCUAUCAAUCUUAGUGGCGAACGGGUGAGUAACGCGUAAUCAACCUGCCCUUCAGAGGGGGACAACAGUUGGAAACGACUGCUAAUACCGCAUACGAUCUAAUCUCGGCAUCGAGGAUAGAUGAAAGGUGGCCUCUACAUGUAAGCUAUCACUGAAGGAGGGGAUUGCGUCUGAUUAGCUAGUUGGAGGGGUAACGGCCCACCAAGGCGAUGAUCAGUAGCCGGUCUGAGAGGAUGAACGGCCACAUUGGGACUGAGACACGGCCCAGACUCCUACGGGAGGCAGCAGUGGGGAAUCUUCCGCAAUGGACGAAAGUCUGACGGAGCAACGCCGCGUGAGUGAUGACGGCCUUCGGGUUGUAAAGCUCUGUUAAUCGGGACGAAAGGCCUUCUUGCGAAUAGUGAGAAGGGUUGACGGUACCGGAAUAGAAAGCCACGGCUAACUACGUG
rnacentral:rRNA from 1 species